AAUUGCAGUUGAUACUGUCAGUCUUGAGUACAGUAGAGGUGGGCGGAAUUCGUGGUGUAGCGGUGAAAUGCUUAGAUAUCACGAAGAACUCCGAUUGCGAAGGCAGCUCACUGGACUGCAACUGACACUGAUGCUCGAAAGUGUGGGUAUCAAACAGGAUUAGAUACCCUGGUAGUCCACACAGUAAACGAUGAAUACUCGCUGUUUGCGAUAUACAGUAAGCGGCCAAGCGAAAGCAUUAAGUAUUCCACCUGGGGAGUACGCCGGCAACGGUGAAACUCAAAGGAAUUGACGGGGGCCCGCACAAGCGGAGGAACAUGUGGUUUAAUUCGAUGAUACGCGAGGAACCUUACCCGGGCUUAAAUUGCAGUGGAAUGAUGUGGAAACAUGUCAGUGAGCAAUCACCGCUGUGAAGGUGCUGCAUGGUUGUCGUCAGCUCGUGCCGUGAGGUGUCGGCUUAAGUGCCAUAACGAGCGCAACCCUUAUCUUUAGUUACUAACAGGUUAUGCUGAGGACUCUAGAGAGACUGCCGUCGUAAGAUGUGAGGAAGGUGGGGAUGACGUCAAAUCAGCACGGCCCUUACGUCCGGGGCUACACACGUGUUACAAUGGGGGGUACAGAAGGCAGCUAGCGGGUGACCGUAUGCUAAUCCCAAAAUCCUCUCUCAGUUCGGAUCGAAGUCUGCAACCCGACUUCGUGAAGCUGGAUUCGCUAGUAAUCGCGCAUCAGCCACGGCGCGGUGAAUACGUUCCCGGGCCUUGUACACACCGCCCGUCAAGCCAUGGGAGCCGGGGGUACCUGAAGUACGUAACCGCAAGGAUCGUCCUAGGGUAAAACUGGUGACUGGG
rnacentral:rRNA from 1 species